UACGUAGGGUGCGAGCGUUGUCCGGAAUUAUUGGGCGUAAAGAGCGUGUAGGCGGCCAGGUAGGUCUGCUGUGAAAACUCGAGGCUUAACCUCGAGCUGUCGGCGGAAACCAUCUGGCUAGAGUCCGGAAGAGGAGAAUGGAAUUCCCGGUGUAGCGGUGAAAUGCGCAGAUAUCAGGAGGAACACCUAUUGCGAAGGCAGCUCGCUGGGACGUAACUGACGCUGAGACGCGAAAGCGUGGGGAGCAAACAGG
rnacentral:rRNA from 1 species